GAUGAACGCUGGCGGCGUGCCUAAUACAUGCAAGUCGAGCGAACAGACGAGGAGCUUGCUCCUCUGACGUUAGCGGCGGACGGGUGAGUAACACGUGGAUAACCUACCUAUAAGACUGGGAUAACUUCGGGAAACCGGAGCUAAUACCGGAUAAUAUAUUGAACCGCAUGGUUCAAUAGUGAAAGACGGUUUUGCUGUCACUUAUAGAUGGAUCCGCGCCGCAUUAGCUAGUUGGUAAGGUAACGGCUUACCAAGGCAACGAUGCGUAGCCGACCUGAGAGGGUGGUCGGCCACACUGGAACUGAGGCACGGUCCAGACUCCUACGGGGGGCAGCAGUAGGGAAUCUUCCGCAAUGGGGGAAAGCCUAACGGAGCAACGCCGCGUGAGGGAUGAGGGUCUUCGGAUCGUAAAACUCUGUUAUUAGGAAAGAACAAAUGUGGAAGUAACUGUGCACGUCUUGACGGUACCUGAUCAGAAAGCCACGGCUAACUACGUG
rnacentral:rRNA from 1 species